rnacentral:misc_RNA from 1 species
GAUGAAGAACGCAGCGAAAUGCGAUACGUAAUGUGAAUUGCAGAAUUCAGUGAAUCAUCGAGUCUUUGAACGCACAUUGCGCCCCCUGGUAUUCCGGGGGGCAUGCCUGUCCGAGCGUCAUUGCUGCCCUCAAGCACGGCUUGUGUGUUGGGCCUCCGUCCUCCUCCCGGGGGACGGGCCCGAAAGGCAGCGGCGGCACCGCGUCCGGUCCUCGAGCGUAUGGGGCUUCGUCACCCGCUCUUGUAGGCCCGCCCGGCGCUUGCCGACACAUCAAUCUUUUUUCCAGGUUGACCUCGGAUCAGGUAGGGAUACCCGCUGAACUUAAGCAUAUCAAUAAGCGGAGGA